CGAGCGCUCCCACCGAGCUGCCUGCCAUGGGGCUGGGGCUGCUGCUCCCGCUGCUGCUGCUCUGGACUCGGGGGACUCAGGGGUCCGAGCUGGACCCCAAAGGGCAGCACGUCUGUGUGGCCAGCAGCCCCUCUGCUGAGCUGCAGUGCUGCGCAGGCUGGAGGCAGAAGGAUCAAGAAUGCACCAUCCCCAUCUGUGAGGGGCCGGACGCCUGCCAGAAAGACGAGGUGUGUGUGAAGCCGGGCCUCUGUCGAUGCAAGCCUGGAUUCUUUGGGGCCCACUGCAGCUCCCGCUGCCCGGGCCAGUACUGGGGCCCCGACUGCCGUGAGAGCUGCCCCUGCCACCCGCACGGCCAGUGCGAGCCAGCCACGGGCGCGUGCCAGUGCCAGGCCGACCGCUGGGGAGCCCGCUGCGAGUUCCCGUGCGCCUGCGGCCCCCACGGGCGCUGCGACCCCGCGACCGGCGUGUGCCACUGCGAACCCGGCUGGUGGUCGUCCACGUGCCGCCGCCCGUGCCAGUGCAACACCGCGGCGGCGCGCUGCGAGCAGGCCACGGGCGCCUGCGUGUGCAAGCCGGGCUGGUGGGGGCGCCGCUGCAGCUUCCGCUGCAACUGCCACGGCUCCCCGUGCGAGCAGGACUCCGGCCGCUGCGCCUGCCGGCCGGGCUGGUGGGGUCCCGAAUGCCAGCAGCAGUGCGAGUGUGUGCGGGGCCGCUGCAGCGCCGCCUCCGGCGAGUGCACCUGCCCGCCCGGCUUCCGCGGAGCGCGCUGCGAGCUGCCCUGCCCGGCAGGCAGCCACGGGGUGCAGUGCGCACACAGGUGAGCGGGCGGGGCGGGGACAGGUGGGCUGGCGGGGCGGGGGCGGACACAAGUGAGCAGGCGGGGCGGGGCGGAGACAGGGGGGCGGGGCGGAGACAGGGGGCGGGGCGAAGACAGGUGGG
rnacentral:lncRNA from 1 species